UACGAAGGGGGCUAGCGUUGUCGGAAUUACUGGGCGUAAAGGGCGCGUAGGCGGCGUGUCAAGUCAGGCGUGAAAGCCCCGGGCUCAACCUGGGAACCGCGCUUGAGACUGGCAUGCUCGAGUUCGGGAGAGGAUGGUGGAAUUCCCAGUGUAGAGGUGAAAUUCGUAGAUAUUGGGAAGAACACCGAUGGCGAAGGCAGCCAUCUGGACCGACACUGACGCUGAGGCGCGAAAGCGUGGGGAGCAAACAGG
rnacentral:rRNA from 1 species